rnacentral:rRNA from 1 species
AAUGAACGUUGGCGGCGUGGAUUAGGCAUGCAAGUCGAGCGAGAACCCGCAAGGGGGACAGCGGCAAACGGGGUAGUAAUGUGUCGGAACGUGCCCUCUGGACGGGGAUAGCGGCGGGAAACUGCCGGUAAUACCCGAUGAACUCGAGAGAGCAAAGGUGUGAUUCCGCCGGAGGAGCGGCCGACAUGGUAUUAGCUAGUUGGCGGGGUAACGGCCCACCAAGGCUGUGAUGCCUAGGGGAUGUGAGAGCAUGAUCCCCACCAUUGGGACUGAGACACUGCCCAGACACCUACGGGUGGCUGCAGUCGAGAAUCUUCGUCAAUGGGCGAAAGCCUGAACGAGCGACACCGCGUGCGGGAUGAAGGCCCUUGGGUUGUAAACCGCUGUCGAGGGGGAUGAAGGCAUUCAGGUACUCCUGAAUGUUUGACAGAGCCCUGGAGGAAGCACGGGCUAAGUUCGUGCCAGCCGCCGCAGUAAAAC